CUCCACUCUCAGAUCCACCCUUUGGAGUCCUCCAAAUACUAACGUAUUUACCGGCAUUGUGGAUGUCAUCGCCAUAUUCUUUCCAAUAAUUUCGUAUCAAGCCAUGAUUCAAACCUCUGGUUUAUUUCACUGCAAGUGGACCUUGCUUGAGAGCCAUUAGAACGCAUUUUUGGAACGGUUUAUUAUGGCUAGUGUUCCAUUACUGGAAUGCUAAACACAAGGGAGUUAUUUAUAUCCUACUGCUCAAGGUCAUCGCCAAGGUCUAAUUGCAAAAAUUCAAAAAAUUGCAACCUCAGGCAUAAAUGGAUUAAGGGAAAAGCCCGACAAUUACACCGACUAGCCAACAUCAUAGGACUCCUGCAAUCCAGGCCAUCGCAGGCCAAGGUUUUUGAAGGAAGCCCUCAAAGAAAGGAAGACCCUUUUAUUAUCUGGAUUCAUUGGAGAUUGCUCCAAGCUUAUGAUUUUCACCAGCUGCUUUACCACUUCCUCCAAAAGUCUCUGCAGAGAGUCCUGGGCUCAGAAAAAGCCGACAGACCUUAACGUCAACAGAGCUUUUCACAGAAAUGGUUGCACCAAGAAGAUACCCAACAGAAUCUGGAUGCCCAGAAACAAGACCUAAGAUGACAUUUCCUACUCUGCCCCUUUGGAAGUUCACAGAAGUCUUAGCGUGGACCUUGAACCCUCAUCAGAUGUAGAAUUGCUGUUAGAAUCCCCUACAGAAUUAUUUAGGUUUGGUGUUAUCUUCUUUGAAUGACCCUAAAAAGGGAGAAGUGGCGAUGAUGGAACUUCAGUGAAGGCUUUGCCUGGACUGGACAUCUCUUCAUACUCAGCAAUGGACAAUUCAUUUCCAAAGUGGUCCCUCUGAGAAAUGUACAUUCCGAAACCAUAAGAAUUCUGGGACACAAUUUUAUCUAAAAUGG